rnacentral:rRNA from 1 species
GGGAUAACCUCGGGAAACCGGGGCUAAUACCGCAUAAAAUCUUCGGGACGGAAGUACUGAAGAUUACAACGAGAAAAUUCGCUUAAGGAGGAGGUCGCGGCUGAUUAGCUAGUUGGCGGGGUAAUGGCCCACCAAGGCAAAGAUCGGUAGCCGGCCUGAGAGGGCGCACGGCCACACUGGAACUGAAACACGGUCCAGACUCCUACGGGAGGCAGCAGUGGGGAAUUUUGCGCAAUGGGGGAAACCCUGACGCA